CAGGACAGGUACAGCGCAGGCAGCGCCAGUGAGAGCUUUCCCCAUACCACCCAGUCCAUGUGCCUGAACCCCGAACUGAAGAGGGACCACCCCAUAGU
rnacentral:sRNA from 1 species